AACGAACGCUGGCGGCAUGCCUAACACAUGCAAGUCGAACGAAGCCUUCGGGCUUAGUGGCGCACGGGUGCGUAACGCGUGGGAACCUACCAUCAGGUUCGGAAUAACAGUUAGAAAUGACUGCUAAUACCGGAUAAUGUCUUCGGACCAAAGAUUUAUCGCCUUUUGAUGGGCCCGCGUAAGAUUAGGUAGUUGGUGGGGUAAAGGCCUACCAAGCCGACGAUCUUUAGCUGGUCUGAGAGGAUGAUCAGCCACACUGGGACUGAGACACGGCUCAGACUCCUACGGGAGGCAGCAGUGGGGAAUAUUGGACAAUGGGCGAAAGCCUGAUCCAGCAAUGCCGCGUGAGUGAUGAAGGCCUUAGGGUUGUAAAGCUCUUUUACUGGGGAUGAUAAUGACAGUACCCAGAGAAUAAGCUCCGGCUAACUCCGUG
rnacentral:rRNA from 1 species